ensembl:misc_RNA Metazoa_SRP Metazoan signal recognition particle RNA
GCAGGCAUGGUGGUGUGUGCCUAUAAUUCCAGCUACUGGGAGGCUGAGGCAGGAGGAUCGCUUGAGCCCAGGAGUUGAAGGCUGUCGUGCACUAUAAUCCUACUGUGAAUAGCCACUGCACUCUAGCCUGGGCAACAUAGCGAGAUCCUGUCUCUA